rnacentral:rRNA from 1 species
UACGUAGGGCGCAAGCGUUGUCCGGAAUUAUUGGGCGUAAAGAGCUCGUAGGCGGCUUGUCACGUCGGGUGUGAAAACCCGCGGCUCAACUGCGGGCCUGCAGCCGAUACGGGCAGGCUAGAGUUCGGUAGGGGAGACUGGAAUUCCUGGUGUAGCGGUGAAAUGCGCAGAUAUCAGGAGGAACACCGGUGGCGAAGGCGGGUCUCUGGGCCGAUACUGACGCUGAGGAGCGAAAGCGUGGGGAGCGAACAGG